UGGAGGCAGCAGUAAGGAAUUUUGCGCAAUGGGCGAAAGCCUGACGCAGCAACGCCGCGUGAGUGAUGAAGGCUUUCGGGUCGUAAAGCUCUGUCAGGGGGAAAGAAGUGUAUUGUGGUUAAUACCCAUGAUACUUGGCGGUACUCCCAAAGGAAGCACCGGCUAACUCCGUGCCAGCAGCCGCGGUAAUACGGGGGGUGCGAGCGUUGUUCGGAAUUAUUGGGCGUAAAGCGCGUGUAGGCGGUUUGUUAAGUCUGAUGUGAAAGCCCUGGGCUCAACCCAGGAAGUGCAUUGGAAACUGGCAGACUUGAAUACGGGAGAGGGUAGUGGAAUUCCUGGUGUAGGAGUGAAAUCCGUAGAUAUCAGGAGGAACACCGGUGGCGAAGGCGGCUGCCUGGACCGAUAUUGACGCUGAGACGCGAAAGCGUGGGUAGCAAACAGGAUUAGAUACCCGAGUAG
rnacentral:rRNA from 1 species